UGUCAGUGAGGCCCAGUGGGGAGUCAAACCCAAUUGGCAGCAAAGAGACCAAAGGAAGCAGUGAAAAACAAGACUAGUGGCACUCUUAUUUUCCCUACACAUAUCCUGUGUCAGGGGGUUUCGGUUAGAAGUUUCUAACCCCACCCAGCAUCAGUGAGGAAGAAGAGACACAAGAACCUGCAAGUUGGUGACUCACUUUUUCCAGAAAGUCAUGUCUGACUCUUUACAACCCCA